GCGAAACCAUGUGAUCUACCCAUGGGCAGGCUGAAGGGACGAUAAUCUCGUCCUGGAGGGCCGAACUAGUUGACGUUGAAAAGUCUUUGGAUGACCUGUGGGUAGGGGUGAAAGGCUAAUCAAACAUGGAGAUAGCUCGUACUCCCCGAAAUGCAUUUAGGUGCAGCGUUGGAGUCUAGAGUGUCACGGAGGUAGAGCUACCGAUAGGGCUAGGGGGUUUCACCACCUACCAACCCUUGACGAACUCCGAAUGCCGUGACAUUUAUCCAGCAGUGAGGCGGUGGGUGCUAAGGUCCAUCGCCGAGAGGGAAACAACCCAGACCAUCAGCUAAGGUCCCUAAAUAUACGCUAAGUUGAAUUGAACGAAGUGGAGAUGCUAUGACAGCUAGGAUGUUGGCUUGGAAGCAGCCAUUCAUUUAAAGAGUGCGUAACAGCUCACUAGUCGAGCGUUUCUGCGCGGAAAAUAAUCGGGCAUCAAGUGUAUUACCGAAGCUAUGGAUUGUAGACGUAAGUC
rnacentral:rRNA from 1 species